CUGCAGCACAUGGAGUUUCCCAGGCUAAAGGUUGAAUCAGAGCUACAGCUGCCAGCCUAUACCACAGUCACAGCAACCUAGGAUCUGAGCCACGGCUGUGACCUGCUCCACAGUUCAUAUCAACACCAGAUCCUUAACCCAUGGAGCGAGGCCAGGGAUCGAACCCACAUUCUCAAGAUACUAGUCAGGUUUGUUACCGCUAAGCCACAAUGGAAACUCCAACUAGGUAAGUUUUCAUAUAACACAAACCACAUACUUAACCAUGGGUAAAAAAAAUCUUAUAUACAUUCAUUUCCCUAUAAAAAUUCUGUUAGUCAAUAUAGAAGGAAAUUUCACUGUCCAGGCUACAGUUUGUGUGGUGUGUUUCAGUGACAGGUCUUAUCUGUCUCAUUUUGGGUACAGAGGAGACUGGUGUUCCCAAAAGAACCUAAAAUGAUGUUUUUAACAGGACAUGGCCAAGUCAAACAAGUCAUUCUUACUUUUUUUUACUAAUAAUUUCCCCAGAUUUGCCUUACUCUUCUCAUCUCCUCAGCAACGACUAUCGUGGUGAUAAAGUGUUGAACAGCCCCCCUCAUGACUGCACUCGAUGGAGGGCUGGCCUGUGCUCCUUUCAAGUUCUUCAGAAUCAUUCGAAACUAAUCUAGGUUUAGUGCAACCUAAUUACAGUCCAUCACAAAAACAAAUUACCUGCUGCAAUGUCCCCUUACGGAGUUGCCUCACAGUCCUUUCAGGGCACUGGUUCCCUUGUUCUACAUUAAUAAACCUAACUUCAGACAAUGGGAAACUCUCUGGUGGUCUUUGUUGGAUAGGUUUGAUCAUAGUAAGAAGCGCUUCCAAAAUAUCAAUUAUACCCAUGAUAUUUACUAAGUAAAUGAAUAUUAUUUUAAAAUAUGCUCUUCCCUGAAAAAGAAUUUUAUUUUUUAUGGCUGCCCUUGUGCCUUAUGGAAUUUCCCGGGCUAGGGAUCAAACUGGAGCUACAGCUGGCCUACACCACAGCCAUAGCAAUACCAAAUCCAACCCACAUCUACGACCUAGCCCAAAGCUGAUUGGCAAUGCUGGAUCCUUAACCCACUGAGCGAGGCCAGGGAUCAAACCCACAUCCUCUUGGACACUUUGUCAGGUUCUUAACCUAUUGAGCCACAUGGGAACUCCUAAAACAGAACAUUUGAGAAGCAUUAUGUUCAUAUCCUUUGAUUUUAUGUCAUAGGCAAAUGAGAUCUAAGGCUCAUUCGAGGCCCUAGGAAAUUAGCAGUAGACCUACAAUUAGAACUCAUAUUACUUUACAUAUUGUCUGCUAUACUUCCUCGAAAGCCACCUAUCACUUUACUGUCAAAUUCUAUUUACCUGGGGGCUCUCGAAAGCACAACAGGAGUUCCCUCUGUGGUGCAGUGGUUUAAGAAUCCAACUGCAGUGGCUCAGGUCAUUUUAGAGGUGCGGUUUAAUCCCUGGCCUGGUGCAGUGUGUUAAAAGGAUCCGGUGUUGCUACAGCUGCAGCUCAGGGAUUUAAUCCUUGGCCCAAGAAACUUCUAUAUGCCCUGGGUGCGGCCAUUAAAAACAAAAAGAUACAAUAGAAUAAAUCUUUGCUUUAUGUGAAGCACAUAAUUGGAAAGAGUUUCUUUUGCAAUUUUCCAAAGAAAAUUGAGUUUUCUUUCGCAAUUUUCAAUUUCACCCAUACAUGCAAAAAAGAUUUUCAAGACUUUUAAAAGUGCAGCACAGAGUUUCUUCCACACAAUUUGCUGCGACUGUUCUGUCAUUCUUAUCUGAAGUACUAUUGCCUGGCUCUGAUCCUAGUCCUGAAGUUUGCUAACUGGAACUAAUGUAACCUUGGGCAAAGAUCUCAAUGCAUGUGCGCCAAACAGGGAGAACAGUAUUACGGAUCAGAUAGAGGUUUGUUAAGAUUAAAUAAGUUAGGAGUUCUUGUCGUGACUCAGCAGGUUACAAACCCAAGUAGUAUCCAUGAGAAUGCAGGUUCGACCCCUGGCCUUGCUCAGUGGGUUAAGGAUCCAGCAUUGCCAUGAACUGUGGUGCAGGUCACAGAUAUAGCUCGGAUCCUGAGUUGCUGUGGCUGUGGCUGGCAGCUGCAGCUCCAAUUCUACCCCUAGCCUGAGGAUUUCUAUGUGUCGCAGGUGUGCCCCCCCAAAAAAAAAUUAAGUUAAUAAAUAGAAAAUACCCAGAACAGAGCUGGGCUCUGUAAUCGAACAUCACUCAAUAAACUUUCUCCAUUGUUUUAAAAAUAUAACUUUGCUUUUCAGAAUUAUUAUUACUGAAUUUUCUCUAUCCAUCCCUCCCUUCCCCUGACCCUGGCAACCACUGAUCUUUUUACUGUCUCUACAAUUUUGCUUUUUCCAGAUGUCACAGUUGGACUCAUACAGUGUAUAGUCUUUUUACAUUAGCUUCUUUCACUUAGUAACAUGCAUUUAAGGGUUUUAUUUUUUCAUGUCUUUUCAUGACUUGAUGGCUUACAUCUUUUUAGCACAUAUCUCAUUUUUUGGAUGUACCAGUUUAUUUCCCAUUCAACUAAUGAACAUCUUGUUUACGUCUAAGUUAUGACAAUUAUGGAUAAAGCUGUUAAAAACACUCAUGUACAGAUUUUUGUACCAAGGAGCAUAAUUUCAAGAUCAUAUAAUCUUUGUCUCUGAAAUAGGAAAAUUUUUUCUCUUCUUGCCAUUGUUCACUGAUCUUGAACAUGUCUUGCUGAACCUGCAUAUGGGACCACUGUGCAACAAUAAGUUAUCUUCAAAGACACCAAGAUAUCAUGAAAUAUAAUAAACCCUAAGGACUACAUGAUAAUAGUCUUGAUAACCUGUAUAUUGGAAAAAUGAAAUAUUUGGUAGAAAUUCUUAUUGAUUUUUAUCAUUUAUGCUAUCAUUUAUGCAUCUAUUUCUAAUUACUUGUUUCUUAUUAGUUCCAUUUUAUUCUAGUAUAGUUUUAUUAUAUACCCCAUGAUAACGUCAAAAUCCUUUACUUUACUCAUUCAUAUAUUCACACACCAACUUAAAAGAUUUUCUGAGCAUCUUUGCUCAUGGAUGCACUAUAUUCGAUUCCAAGGAUAUAAAGAUGAAUAUAAUAUGGAUACUAUUUUUAGAGACUCAUAGUCUAAGAAGAAAUAAAACCCUAAGUAAACUACUGUGUAAUAAUAUAAAUAUUUACAACGUGUUAAAUUAGCAGAUGAGGGAGUAAGCAAGUUGACCUAAAGAGUUGAAGAAAUCACCACAGAAUAAAUAUUUGAUUUUCAUCUCUGUGUCUAGAUGACUGCAGUAACAGCUUUCUCUAAAUGCAUUCAACACUGCAGUUUUAGAAAGUUCUUGCUAGAGUGCAAAUUGAUCAAUGAACUGAUUUUUGGCAUGGCAUGCUAUGGAUAAUGAUUCAUGAUUUGGUUUAUGCUCACCUCCGGUC
rnacentral:lncRNA from 1 species